GAUGAACGCUGGCGGCGUGCUUAACACAUGCAAGUCGAGCGAAGCAGUUAAGUUGAUUUCUUCGGAUUGAUUCUUAAUUGACUGAGCGGCGGACGGGUGAGUAACGCGUGGGUGACCUGCCCCAUACCGGGGGAUAACAGCUGGAAACGGCUGCUAAUACCGCAUAAGCGCACAGAGCUGCAUGGCUCAGUGUGAAAAACUCCGGUGGUAUGGGAUGGGCCCGCGUCUGAUUAGGCAGUUGGCGGGGUAACGGCCCACCAAACCGACGAUCAGUAGCCGGCCUGAGAGGGCGACCGGCCACAUUGGGACUGAGACACGGCCCAAACUCCUACGGGAGGCAGCAGUGGGGAAUAUUGCACAAUGGGGGAAACCCUGAUGCAGCGACGCCGCGUGAGCGAAGAAGUAUUUCGGUAUGUAAAGCUCUAUCAGCAGGGAAGAUAAUGACG
rnacentral:rRNA from 1 species